UUCUUGCCUAAUGCAAGACUUGUGCAAAGCACAGUCUAACUGUGCCCAUGGGUGGAGUUUUGGCUCUUUUUGCCUUUUGGUAGACUGGU